AUUGAACGCUGGCGGCAUGCCUUACACAUGCAAGUCGAACGGCAGCACGGGUGCUUGCACCUGGUGGCGAGUGGCGAACGGGUGAGUAAUACAUCGGAACGUACCUUAUCGUGGGGGAUAACGCAGCGAAAGCUGUGCUAAUACCGCAUACGCCUUGAGGGGGAAAGCGGGGGAUCGCAAGACCUCGCGCGAUUAGAGCGGCCGAUGCCUGAUUAGCUUGUUGGUGGGGUAAAAGCCCACCAAGGCGACGAUCAGUAGCUGGUCUGAGAGGACGAUCAGCCACACUGGGACCGAGACACGGCCCAGACUCCUACGGGAGGAAGCAGUGGGGAAUUUUGGACAAGGGGGGCAACCCUGAUCCAGCAAUGCCGCGUGAGUGAAGAAGGCCUUCGGGUUGUAAAGCUCUUUUGUCAGGGAAGAAACACCGGCUCUAACACAGUCUGGGAAUGACGGUACCUGAAGAAUAAGCACCGGCUAACUACGUGCCAGCAGCCGCCGUAA
rnacentral:rRNA from 1 species